rnacentral:rRNA from 1 species
UACGUAGGGACCGAGCGUUGUCCGGAAUCAUUGGGCGUAAAGAGCGUGUAGGCGGCCUUUUAAGUCCUGCGUGAAAUCCUGCGGCUCAACCGCAGACGGUCGUGGGAAACUGGAAGGCUAGAGUGCGGGAGAGGAGAGUGGAAUUCCCGGUGUAGCGGUGAAAUGCGCAGAUAUCGGGAAGAACACCCGUGGCGAAGGCGGCUACCUGGACCAGCACUGACACUGAGGCACGAAAGCGUGGGGAGCAAACAGG